rnacentral:rRNA from 1 species
AGUGAACGCUGGCGGUAGGCCUAACACAUGCAAGUCGAACGGCAGCACAGCAGUAGCAAUACUGUGGGUGGCGAGUGGCGGACGGGUGAGGAAUACAUCGGAAUCUACCUUUUCGUGGGGGAUAACGUAGGGAAACUUACGCUAAUACCGCAUAAGACCUUCGGGUGAAAGCCGGGGACCGUUCGGCCUGGCGCGGAUAGAUGAGCCGAUGUCGGAUUAGCUUGUUGGCGGGGUAAAGGACCCACCAAGGCGACGAUCCGUAGCUGGUCUGAGAGGAUGAUCAGCCACACUGGAACUGAGACACGGUCCAGACUCCUACGGGAGGCAGCAGUGGGGAAUAUUGGACAAUGGGCGCAAGCCUGAUCC